rnacentral:rRNA from 1 species
GGUUAAGUGACUAAGCGUACACGGUGGAUGCCUUGGCAGUCAGAGGCGAUGAAAGACGUAGUAACUUGCGAUAAGCCCAGAUUAGGUAGUAACAACCAUUUGAGUCUGGGAUUUCUGAAUGGGGAAACCCACGUGCAUAAGCACGUAUCCUUACCUGAAUACAUAGGGUAAGGAGGCGAACCGGGGGAACUGAAACAUCUAAGUACCCCGAGGAAAAGAAAUCAACCGAGAUUCCGAAAGUAGCGGCGAGCGAAAUUGGACUAGCCCUUAAGCUUUACACGCGUUAGACGAACGGUCUGGAAAGUCCGACGAUACAGGGUGAUAGUCCCGUAGUUGACGACGUGUGUUCAGUGAAAUCGAGUAGGGCGGGACACGUGAUAUCCUGUCUGAAUAUGGGGGGACCAUCCUCCAAGGCUAAAUACUACUGACUGACCGAUAGUGAACCAGUACCGUGAGGGAAAGGCGAAAAGAACCCCUGUGAGGGGAGUGAAAUAGAACCUGAAACCGUGUACGUACAAGCAGUAGGAGCAGGCUUUGUCCUGUGACUGCGUACCUUUUGUAUAAUGGGUCAGCGACUUAUAUUCAGUGGCAAGGUUAACCAUCUAGGGGAGCCGUAGGGAAACCGAGUCUUAACUGGGCGUUCAGUCUCUGGAUAUAGACCCGAAACCAGGUGAUCUAGCCAUGGGCAGGUUGAAGGUUGAGUAACAUCAACUGGAGGACCGAACCGACUAAUGUUGAAAAAUUAGCGGAUGACUUGUGGCUAGGGGUGAAAGGCCAAUCAAACCUGGAGAUAGCUGGUUCUCCCCGAAAGCUAUUUAGGUAGCGCCUCGGACGAAUACUACUGGGGGUAGAGCACUGUUAAGGCUAGGGGGUCAUCCCGACUUACCAACCCUUUGCAAACUCCGAAUACCAGUAAGUACUAUCCGGGAGACACACGGCGGGUGCUAACGUCCGUCGUGGAGAGGGAAACAACCCAGACCGCCAGCUAAGGUCCCAAAUUACUACUAAGUGGGAAACGAUGUGGGAAGGCUCAGACAGCCAGGAUGUUGGCUUAGAAGCAGCCAUCAUUUAAAGAAAGCGUAAUAGCUCACUGGUCGAGUCGGCCUGCGCGGAAGAUGUAACGGGGCUAAGUAGUAAACCGAAGCUGCGGCAAUAUACUUUUGUAUAUUGGGUAGGGGAGCGUUCUGUAAGCGGUUGAAGGUGUGUGGUAACGCAUGCUGGACGUAUCAGAAGUGCGAAUGCUGACAUGAGUAACGAUAAAGGGGGUGAAAAACCUCCUCGCCGGAAGACCAAGGGUUCCUGUCCAACGUUAAUCGGGGCAGGGUAAGUCGACCCCUAAGGCGAGGCCGAAAGGCGUAGUCGAUGGGAAACGGGUUAAUAUUCCCGUACUUCUUACAAUUGCGAUGGGGGGACGGAGAAGGCUAGGUGGGCCUGGCGACGGUUGUCCAGGUUCAAGUGCGUAGGCUUGAGAGUUAGGUAAAUCCGGCUCUUUCUAAGGCUGAGACACGACGUCGAGCACCUACGGGUGUGAAGUCAUUGAUGCCAUGCUUCCAGGAAAAGCCUCUAAGCUUCAGAUUGUAAGGAAUCGUACCCCAAACCGACACAGGUGGUCGGGUAGAGAAUACCAAGGCGCUUGAGAGAACUCGGGUGAAGGAACUAGGCAAAAUGGUACCGUAACUUCGGGAGAAGGUACGCUCUCGACGGUGAAGUCCUUCGCGGAUGGAGCUGUUGAGAGUCGCAGAUACCAGGUGGCUGCAACUGUUUAUUAAAAACACAGCACUGUGCAAAAUCGUAAGAUGACGUAUACGGUGUGACGCCUGCCCGGUGCCGGAAGGUUAAUUGAUGGGGUUAGACUUCGGUCGAAGCUCUUGAUCGAAGCCCCGGUAAACGGCGGCCGUAACUAUAACGGUCCUAAGGUAGCGAAAUUCCUUGUCGGGUAAGUUCCGACCUGCACGAAUGGCGUAAUGAUGGCCACGCUGUCUCCACCCGAGACUCAGUGAAAUUGAAAUCGCUGUGAAGAUGCAGUGUACCCGCGGCUAGACGGAAAGACCCCGUGAACCUUUACUACAGCUUGGCACUGAACAUUGACCCUACAUGUGUAGGAUAGGUGGGAGGCUUUGAAGCAGGUACGCCAGUAUCUGUGGAGCCGUCCUUGAAAUACCACCCUUGUAGUGUUGAUGUUCUAACGUUGACCCCUUAUCGGGGUUGCGGACAGUGCCUGGUGGGUAGUUUGACUGGGGCGGUCUCCUCCCAAAGAGUAACGGAGGAGCACGAAGGUGGGCUAAUCACGGUUGGACAUCGUGAGGUUAGUGCAAUGGCAUAAGCCCGCUUGACUGCGAGAAUGACAAUUCGAGCAGGUGCGAAAGCAGGUCAUAGUGAUCCGGUGGUUCUGAAUGGAAGGGCCAUCGCUCAACGGAUAAAAGGUACUCCGGGGAUAACAGGCUGAUACCGCCCAAGAGUUCAUAUCGACGGCGGUGUUUGGCACCUCGAUGUCGGCUCAUCACAUCCUGGGGCUGAAGUCGGUCCCAAGGGUAUGGCUGUUCGCCAUUUAAAGUGGUACGCGAGCUGGGUUUAGAACGUCGUGAGACAGUUCGGUCCCUAUCUGCCGUGGGCGUUGGAAGAUUGAAGGGGGCUGCUCCUAGUACGAGAGGACCGGAGUGGACGAACCUCUGGUGUUCGGGUUGUGUCGCCAGACGCAUUGCCCGGUAGCUAAGUUCGGAAUCGAUAACCGCUGAAAGCAUCUAAGCGGGAAGCGAGCCCUGAGAUGAGUCUUCCCUGAUACUUUAAGUAUCCUAAAGGGUUGUCUGAGACUACGACGUUGAUAGGUCAGGUGUGUAAGUGCUGUGAGGCAUUGAGCUAACUGAUACUAAUUGCCCGUGAGGCUUAACCAU